UAAAAACGAAUUGGUUUUCUUCUUCGUUGCUUCGAUUUCUUCUUCGAUUUCGUUCUUGUUGCUUCUUUUCUUGGGCUCUCUCGCCGGAAUUUUCUCGACGGCGAUCGUAACUGCCGCUAAUUCGAAUCCCUAAACUCUCGGAGGAAUUAGGUUUUUAUUGUUUGGUUUUGAUUUAGUCUUGCUCUUGAGUUGAAAAGAGGAACCAGCCCUAGGUUUUGGAGUGGAGGAUGGGACCGGAGGUGAAGGUCGGCGAUGAUAGCGGUGGUGGUGACGAUGAAAACGGUGCUCAUGAGGGGCGGGUACUUGAGUGGGAGGUAGGUUUGCCAGAAGCCGACGAUCUAACUCCUCUGUCUCAGAUGUUGAUACCGCCGGAGCUUGCAUCGGCAUUCAGUAUAUCGACAGGGCCGUGUCGGACGUUGAUGGAUGUUAAUCGAGCAUCGCAGGAUACGCUAUCGAAUCUUCGUGGAUUUCAAUCGCAUGCGUUUUCGUCGAAUAAUUUCAAGUCGUUUAAUGAUGACCAGACUCGGGAUCAUGAUACGAUGGUGGUUGAAGGAGAUGAGACGACGGAGAGAGAUGCGGGUUCGGAUUCUAGGAAAUUGAGGAAGGUUGAUUGUGUGGAGGAGGCUGAUUCUGCUCUUCGGAUGGAUAACUCGAUGGAUGAUCCGUCCGCUCGGGCCUCGAAGAGACCGAGGCUUGUUUGGACGCCGCAAUUACACAAGCGAUUUGUGGAUGUUGUUGCUCGUCUUGGAAUUAAGAACGCGGUUCCCAAAACUAUUAUGCAGUUGAUGAACGUGGAGGGAUUGACUCGGGAGAAUGUUGCGAGCCAUCUUCAGAAAUACAGGCUUUACUUGAAGAGGAUGCAGGGAUCUUCCCACGAGGGCCCGUCGUCGCCGGACCGGAUUUUCGCGUCCACGCCUGUACCGCAGACCUUGCACGAGUCUGCCAGCAGUGGGCAUGCCAGUGGAAAUGGGCAUUUGCCAGUUCCGACUCCGAUGCCGUAUGGACCGCCGAUGAUGCCCAUGCCCAUGCUUGGCAUGGCAGUGUCUGGUCAUGCUCACAGUUAUAUGGGUAUGCCUGUCGCUCACCCGGGAAGCGCACAGGGAUACCAUAGCUUUGAAACGCAUCCUUACAAUAUGAUGCAUCAGAGAGAUUGGUCGGGGAACAAAUACGGCUCGAUCGUGCCUUACCCUCAUCCGCAUGUACCUCCUAGUAGUAAUGAUAAGUGAAUUCCGCAGAUUUUCAGGUGUGAUCUAAGAUGCAUGACACUGUAGUUACAGGAGAGGCAAGAGAUAGCCUAAUCUCUCAUCACAUUGAAAAACUUCCCCAUCACCUCUGGUGGAUUAUAGAAGGAUCAAAGGGCACGCCGAAUGAUCCUUGUCAAUGGAAUGGAUAUGUGUGUUGUGAUUCUCUCCUUAGGAUGACAUGAAAAGAUGUCACUCUGGAAGGAAAGAGCGGUGACCAGAUUGAUCAUACGCACAUGAGCAACAUGUACUUAAACAUUUCAUGCAAUUAUAUUGUUGUGUUGUCCAUCAGUAAGUCAACAAUUCCCCCAUUAUUAUAUA